AAAAUGGGAAACUCAUCCAGAAACUUUUUUUAUCUGGUAAACAACAGGUUUUUCGUCUUAUGUUUGCUGUCUAACUGUUCCAUCUGAACAACAUGAAAGUUAUAUUGUACAUGAGUUCAUGUCUUAGAUAAGAUAUUCAUCAUAAAUUUAUAUUAGACAAAUAAAACAAGAUGGUUUUUAGCUUUGAUGACCAGGAUUGAGGGUUUCCGAAUUCUCAGGUUUUUCGUCCAGUGGUUUUCGUUCCAAAUUUGUUAGAUGAGUCUCCCGUCUUAGAAAGAAAUUCCAUUUUCUAAUAAAAUUCCAUUUUCUAAUAAAAUUCAGCUGUUAUGUCAAAAGUUAUCAUGAAAAUGUUAAUAUACAUGUAAUGCCAUUGAUGACUGACUAAUACCAGAUGAUUUUACCUG